UGAACUUUUUGAAACGUGAACAUCUUUGAUGAAUCUUUUCAUCGGAGGGACAUACAUCUCUCAGAUUUCAUUAAAAUAUCUCCGCUUUUCUUUCGAAGAUGAACGAAAGUCUUAGAUGGUUUGUUUGGAGCAUCUUAAGGCUUCUGCGAGCGUGUAUGGCGUCUGGCUUCAGAACUUCAGAUAAGAACAAAGAUCAAAUUGUAAGAAGGGUUGCUUAUAAGAGCAUACAGUACAUCUGAAACUGCUGAGGCUGAUCAGCUGCUAUAGAAGACAAACUGAAAUCUGAGUGCAGAGACGGGAAUACUGCAAGACACUACUGACUAGGCUGUGCCCAGGUCUCCGGAACCUGUGACGACGCUCAGCUCCAUCGGCCCUUAGUCUGCGGCUUCGGAUCCACCAGCUCUGUCUCCAUCGUUCGGCCCGCAGAUGUCGGCAGCCACACCUUCUACAUCUUGGCUCCUCCCUCCCUCGACUCCACCGUGUGUUGUCAGCACUGCUCUGGGUCUGUACCAACACACCUCCAUCCCUCAAAUGGAUAAGAUGG